UACGUAGGGCGCAAGCGUUGUCCGGAAUUAUUGGGCGUAAAGAGCUCGUAGGCGCUUGUCACGUCGGGUGUGAAAGCUCGGGGCUUAACCCCGGGUCUGCAUUCGAUACGGGCUGGCUGGAGUGUGGUAGGGGAGAUCGGAAUUCCUGGUGUAGCGGUGAAAUGCGUAGAGAUCCGGAGGAACACCAGAGGCGAAGGCGGCCUACUGGGCUGCACCUGACGCUGAGCCGCGAAAGCUAGGGGAGCGGAACGGG
rnacentral:rRNA from 1 species